GAUGAACGCUGGCGGCGUGCCUAAUACAUGCAAGUCGAGCGAACAGACGAGGAGCUUGUUCCUCUGACGUUAGCGGCGGACGGGUGAGUAACACGUGGAUAACCUACCUAUAAGACUGGGAUAACUUCGGGAAACCGGAGCUAAUCCCGGAUAAUAUAUUGAACCGUAUGGUUCAUUAGUGAAAGACGGUUUUGCUGUCACUAAUAGAUGGAUCCGCGCCGCAUUAGCUGGUUGUUAAGGUAACGGCUUACCAAGGCAACGAUGCGUAGCCGACCUGAGAGGGUGAUCGGCCACACUGGAACUGAGACACGGUCCAGACUCCUACGGGAGGCAGCAGUAGGGAAUCUUCCGCAAUGGGCGAAAGCUUGACGGAGCAACGCCGCGUGAGUGAUGAAGGUCUUCGGAUCGUAAAACUCUGUUAUUAGGGAAGAACAAAUGUGUAAGUAACUAUGCACGUCUUGACGGUACCUAAUCAGAAAGCCACGGCUAACUACGUG
rnacentral:rRNA from 1 species